rnacentral:rRNA from 1 species
AGAGUUUGAUCCUGGCUCAGGACGAACGCUGGCGGCGUGCUUAACACAUGCAAGUCGAGCGGAAAGGCCCUUCGGGGUACUCGAGCGGCGAACGGGUGAGUAACACGUGAGCAACCUGCCCCUAGCUCUGGGAUAGCUCCGGGAAACCGGGAUUAAUACCGGAUAAGACCACUUUAGACAUCUGUUGUGGUGGAAAGGAUUCCGGCUAGGGAUGGGCUCGCGGCCUAUCAGCUUGUUGGUGGGGUAACGGCCUACCAAGGCGACGACGGGUAGCCGGCCUGAGAGGGCGACCGGCCACACUGGGACUGAGACACGGCCCAGACUCCUACGGGAGGCAGCAGUGGGGAAUAUUGCGCAAUGGGCGAAAGCCUGACGCAGCGACGCCGCGUGGGGGAUGAAGGCCUUCGGGUUGUAAACCUCUUUCAGCAGGGACGAAGCGAAAGUGACGGUACCUGCAGAAGAAGCGCCGGCUAACUACGUGCCAGCAGCCGCGGUAACACGUAGGGCGCAAGCGUUGUCCGGAAUUAUUGGGCGUAAAGAGCUCGUAGGCGGUCUGUUGCGUCCGCUGUGAAAACUCGGGGCUUAACCCCGAGCCUGCAGUGGAUACGGGGCAGACUAGAGGUAGGUAGGGGGAGAAUGGAAUUCCCGGUGUAGCGGUGAAAUGCGCAGAUAUCGGGAGGAACACCGGUGGCGAAGGCGGUUCUCUGGGCCUUACCUGACGCUGAGGAGCGAAAGCGUGGGGAGCGAACAGGAUUAGAUACCCCGGUAGUCC